UACGUAGGAGGCAAGCGUUGUCCGGAUUUACUGGGCGUAAAGAGCGCGCAAGCGGUCGAUCAAGUCGAGUGUGAAAGCCCCCGGCUCAACUGGGGAGGGUCAUUCGAUACUGAUCGACUCGAAGGCAGGAGAGGGUAGUGGAAUUCCCGGUGUAGUGGUGAAAUGCGUAGAUAUCGGGAGGAACACCAGUGGCGAAGGCGACUACCUGGCCUGUUCUUGACGCUGAGGCGCGAAAGCUAGGGGAGCAAACGGG
rnacentral:rRNA from 1 species